UACGUAGGGUGCAAGCGUUAUCCGGAAUUAUUGGGCGUAAAGAGCUCGUAGGCGGUUUGUCGCGUCUGCUGUGAAAUCCCGCGGCUCAACUGCGGGUCUGCAGUCGAUACGGGCAGGCUAGAGUUCGGUAGGGAGACUGGAAUUCCUGGUGUAGCGGUGAAAUGCGCAGAUAUCAGGAGGAACACCAACAGCGAAGGCAGCACUCUGGGCCGGUACUGACGCUGAGGAGCGAAAGCAUGGGGAGCGAACAGG
rnacentral:rRNA from 1 species